rnacentral:rRNA from 1 species
UGAGGCGUGAUGGGGAAGGUCAUUAAGACCGAAGUACAUGAUUCCAUGCUUCCAAGAAAAGCAUCUAGAGAGAGAAGUAGUGCCCGUACCGCAAACCGACACAGGUAGAUGAGGAGAGAAUCCUAAGGCCGGCGGAAGAAUUGCAGUUAAGGAACUAGGCAAAUUGACCCCGUAAGUUCGCGAGAAGGGGUGCCUGUGAGAGCAGGCCGCAGAGAAUAGGCCCAAGCAACUGUUUAGCAAAAACACAGGUCUCUGCUAAAGCGUAAGCUGAUGUAUAGGGGCUGACGCCUGCCCGGUGCUGGAAGGUUAAGGGGAACACUUAGCGCAAGCGAAGGUGUGAACUUAAGCCCCAGUAAACGGCGGCCGUAACAAUAACGGUCCUAAGGUAGCGAAAUUCCUUGUCAGGUAAGUUCUGACCCGCACGAAUGGCGUAAUGACUUGGGCACUGUCUCAACUGCAAAUCCGGCGAAGUUGUAGUGCGAGUGAAGAUGCUCGCUACCCGCGAUUGGACGGAAAGACCCCGUAGAGCUUUACUGUAGCUUAGCAUUGAAUUCCGGUAUUGUCUGUACAGGAUAGGUGGGAGACUGGGAAACUAGGGCGUCAGCCUUAGUGGAGUCAACCUUGGGAUACCACCCUGACAGUACUGGGGUUCUAACAGGACGCCAUGAAGCUGGUGACUGGACAUUGUUAGGUGGGCAGUCUGACUGGGGCGGUCGCCUCCUAGAAAGUAAUGGAGGCGCCCAAAGGUUCCCUCAGAACGGUCGGAAAUCGUUCGUAGAGUGCAAAGGCAGAAGGGAGCCUGACUGCGAGACCCACAAGUCGAGCAGGGACGAAAGUCGGGCUUAGUGAUCCGGUGGUACCUCGUGGGAGGGCCAUCGCUCAACGGAUAAAAGCUACCUCGGGGAUAACAGGCUGAUCUCCCCCAAGAGUCCACAUCGACGGGGAGGUUUGGCACCUCGAUGUCGGCUCGUCGCAUCCUGGGGCUGUAGUAGGUCCCAAGGGUUGGGCUGUUCGCCCAUUAAAGCGGCACGCGAGCUGGGUUCAGAACGUCGUGAGACAGUUCGGUCCCUAUCCGUCGCGGGCGUAGGAAAUUUGAGAGGAGCUGUCCUUAGUACGAGAGGACCGGGAUGGACUGACCUCUGGUGCACCAGUUGUUCUGCCAAGAGCAUGGCUGGGUAGCUAAGUCGGGAAGGGAUAAACGCUGAAAGCAUCUAAGCGUGAAGCCCCCCUCAAGAUGAGGUUUCCCAUAGCAUAAGCUAGUAAGACCCCUUGAAGAACACAAGGUUGAUAGGUCAGAGGUGGAAGUGCGGUAACGUAUGUAGCUGACUGAUACUAAUAGGUCGAGGGCUUGACCU